UACGUAGGGGGCAAGCGUUGUCCGGAUUUAUUGGGCGUAAAGAGCGUGUAGGCGGCCUGGUAGGUCAGCUGUGAAAACUCGAGGCUCAACCUCGAGACGUCGGUUGAAACCACCUGGCUAGAGUCCGGAAGAGGAGAGUGGAAUUCCCGGUGUAGCGGUGAAAUGCGCAGAUAUCGGGAGGAACACCGGUGGCGAAGGCGGGUCUCUGGGCAGUAACUGACGCUGAGGAGCGAAAGCGUGGGGAGCGAACAGG
rnacentral:rRNA from 1 species